GUGAAUGUAGCUAAACAGGAUAUAGCAGAGGAGUUCUAACCCUAAGGCUGCAGGUUCGAGUCCUGCCAUUCACA
rnacentral:tRNA from 1 species